AUUGAACGCUGGCGGCAUGCCUUACACAUGCAAGUCGAACGGUAACAGGUCUUCGGAUGCUGACGAGUGGCGAACGGGUGAGUAAUACAUCGGAACGUGCCCGAGAGUGGGGGAUAACGAAGCGAAAGCUUUGCUAAUACCGCAUACGAUCUCAGGAUGAAAGCAGGGGACCGCAAGGCCUUGCGCUCACGGAGCGGCCGAUGGCAGGUUAGGUAGUUGGUGGGAUAAAAGCUUACCAAGCCGACGAUCUGUAGCUGGUCUGAGAGGACGACCAGCCACACUGGGACUGAGACACGGCCCAGACUCCUACGGGAGGCAGCAGUGGGGAAUUUUGGACAAUGGGCGCAAGCCUGAUCCAGCCAUGCCGCGUGCAGGAUGAAGGCCUUCGGGUUGUAAACUGCUUUUGUACGGAACGAAAAGACUCUGGUUAAUACCUGGGGUCCAUGACGGUACCGUAAGAAUAAGCACCGGCUAACUACGUGCCAGCAGCCGCGGUAAUACGUAGGGUGCGAGCGUUAAUCGGAAUUACUGGGCGUAAAGCGUGCGCAGGCGGUUAUGUAAGACAGAUGUGAAAUCCCCGGGCUCAACCUGGGAACUGCAUUUGUGACUGCGUAGCUAGAGUACGGCAGAGGGGGAUGGAAUUCCGCGUGUAGCAGUGAAAUGCGUAGAUAUGCGGAGGAACACCGAUGGCGAAGGCAAUCCCCUGGGCCUGUACUGACGCUCAUGCACGAAAG
rnacentral:rRNA from 1 species